rnacentral:rRNA from 1 species
UAACGCACCGAAAGGUGUGCUAAUACCGCAUAAGCCCUGAGGGGGAAAGCAGGGGAUCUUCGGACCUUGCGCAGGUGGAGUGGCCGAUGUCGGAUUAGCUAGUUGGUGAGGUAACGGCUCACCAAGGCGACGAUCCGUAGCUGGUCUGAGAGGAUGAUCAGCCACACUGGAACUGAGAACGGUCCAGACUCCUACGGGAGGCAGCAGUGGGGAAUUUUGGACAAUGGGGGCAACCCUGAUCCAGCCAUGCCGCGUGAGUGAAGAAGGCCUUCGGGUUGUAAAGCUCUUUCGGCCGGGAAGAAAUCGUGCAGGCUAAUACCCUGUAUGGAUGACGGUACCGGAAUAAGAAGCACCGGCUAACUACGUGCCAGCAGCCGCGGUAAUACGUAGGGUGCGAGCGUUAAUCGGAAUUACUGGGCGUAAAGCGUGCGCAGGCGGUUUUGUAAGACAGGCGUGAAAUCCCCGGGCUCAACCUGGGCAUGGCGCU